rnacentral:rRNA from 1 species
AGGGUUCGAUUCUGGCUCAGGAUGAACGCUGGCGGCGUGCUUAACACAUGCAAGUCGAACGGGAUCCAUCAGGCUUUGCUUGGUGGUGAGAGUGGCGAACGGGUGAGUAAUGCGUGACCGACCUGCCCCAUACACCGGAAUAGCUCCUGGAAACGGGUGGUAAUGCCGGAUGCUCCAGUUGAUCGCAUGGUCUUCUGGGAAAGCUUUCGCGGUAUGGGAUGGGGUCGCGUCCUAUCAGCUUGACGGCGGGGUAACGGCCCACCGUGGCUUCGACGGGUAGCCGGCCUGAGAGGGCGACCGGCCACAUUGGGACUGAGAUACGGCCCAGACUCCUACGGGAGGCAGCAGUGGGGAAUAUUGCACAAUGGGCGCAAGCCUGAUGCAGCGACGCCGCGUGCGGGAUGACGGCCUUCGGGUUGUAAACCGCUUUUGACUGGGAGCAAGCCCUUCGGGGUGAGUGUACCUUUCGAAUAAGCACCGGCUAACUACGUGCCAGCAGCCGCGGUAAUACGUAGGGUGCAAGCGUUAUCCGGAAUUAUUGGGCGUAAAGGGCUCGUAGGCGGUUCGUCGCGUCCGGUGUGAAAGUCCAUCGCUUAACGGUGGAUCCGCGCCGGGUACGGGCGGGCUUGAGUGCGGUAGGGGAGACUGGAAUUCCCGGUGUAACGGUGGAAUGUGUAGAUAUCGGGAAGAACACCAAUGGCGAAGGCAGGUCUCUGGGCCGUUACUGACGCUGAGGAGCGAAAGCGUGGGGAGCGAACAGGAUUAGAUACCCUGGUAGUCCACGCCGUAAACG